rnacentral:rRNA from 1 species
AUUGAACGCUGGCGGCAUGCCUUACACAUGCAAGUCGGACGGUAACAGGUCUUCGGAUGCUGACGAGUGGCGAACGGGUGAGUAAUACAUCGGAACGUGCCCGAUCGUGGGGGAUAACUACUCGAAAGAGUAGCUAAUACCGCAUACGAUCUACGGAUGAGAGCGGGGGAUCUUCGGACCUCGUGCGGACGGAGCGGCCGAUGGCAGAUUAGGUAGUUGGUGGGAUAAAAGCUUACCAAGCCGACGAUCUGUAGCUGGUCUGAGAGGACGACCAGCCACACUGGGACUGAGACACGGCCCAGACUCCUACGGGAGGCAGCAGUGGGGAAUUUUGGACAAUGGGCGAAAGCCUGAUCCAGCAAUGCCGCGUGCAGGAUGAAGGCCUUCGGGUUGUAAACUGCUUUUGUACGGAACGAAAAGACUCCUUCUAAUACAGGGGGUCCAUGACGGUACCGUAAGAAUAAGCACCGGCUAACUACGUGCCAGCAGCCGCCGUAACAC